rnacentral:rRNA from 1 species
CAGUUAAAAAGCUCGUAGUUGGAUCUCAGGGUGAGCUCAGUUGGUCGGCCUACUUGGUCAGAACUGGCUGACUCUCCCUUGUUUCUGAAUCCCUGUGGUGGUUAACUCUAUCGCUGUGGACUUCAGAUCGUUUACCUUGAAAAAAUUAGAGUGUUCAAAGCGGGCGUUUGCUUGAAUACAUUAGCAUGGAAUAAUGGAAUAGGACCCUGGUUCUAUUUUGUUGGUUUUGAGGACCAGAGUAAUGAUUAAUAGGGAUAGUUGGGGGCAUUCAUAUUUAAUUGUCAGAGGUGAAAUUCUUGGAUUUAUGAAAGAUGAACUUCUGCGAAAGCAUUUGCCAAGGAUGUUUUCAUUAAUCAAGAACGAAAGUUAGGGGAUCGAAGACGAUCAGAUACCGUCGUAGUCUUAACCAUAAACUAUGCCGACUAGGGAUUGGGAACGGUUUGUUCAUUGACCCUCUCAGCACCUUACGAGAAAUCAAAGUUUUUGGGUUCCGGGGGGAGUAUGGUCGCAAGGCUGAAACUUAAAGGAAUUGACGGAGGGGCACCACCAGGAGUGGAGCCUGCGGCUUAAUUUGACUCAACACGGGAAAACUUACCAGGUCCAGACAUAGGAAGGAUUGACAGAUUGAGAGCUCUUUC